AUCAAAAUGCGGAGACCGGUAGUGGCCCCGAACGGCUGGGCAUGCUGAUAUUUAUUGCAUACAAGACAAGGGAGGCAGGGUAAGGAGGGUGAAUCUUCUAAGUGGUUGAUAAGGUGAAGCAAGUCACAUGAUCAUAGGACAGGGGGCCCUUCCCUUUUAGGUAGCUGAAGCAGAGAAAGAAGGCAGCAUACGUCAGCGUUUUCUUCUAUGCACUUAUAGGAAAGAUCAAAGACUUUAAGACUUUCUCUAUUUCUUCUACCGCUAUCUACUAUGAACUUCAAAGAGGAACCAGGAGUACGGGAGGAACAUGAAAGAGGACAAGGAGCGUGACCACUGAAGCACAGCACCACAGAGAGGGGUUUAGGCCUCCAGAUGACUACACGCAGGCCUGGAUAAUAUCCAUCCUUCCACAAGAAGCUGGUGGAGCAGAGUGUUCCCUGACUCCUCCAAGGAAAGGAGACUCCCUUUCGCAGUCUGCUAAAUAGUGGGUGUCUUCCCAGAUACUGGCAUUACCAUUUGACCAAGGAGCCCUCAAGUGGCCCUUAUGUGGUUGUGACAGAGGGCUCACCUCUUGCCUUCUAGGUCACGUCUCACAAUGUCCCUUCAGCAUCUGACCCUAUACCCGCCAGUUAUUCCUAGGUUAUAUUAGUAAUGCAACAAAGAGUAAUAUUAAAAGCUAAUGAUUAAUAAUGUUUAUAAUAAUGAUUGAUAAUUGUCUAUGAACAUCUCUAUAUCUAAUUUGUAUUAUGACUAUUCGUAUUCUAUUUUCUUUAUUAUACUGAAACAGUUUGUGCCUUCAGUCUCUUGCCUUGGCACGUAGGUAAUCUUUUGCCCACAUUUGGUAGAGAAAACAUCUCUACCCUCUGCUUCUUCUUCAACCCUGUCUUCACCAUCCUUGGUUCUUUACUAUUCCAUAUGAAGGGAUAAUCCAUCUUACCUGGUGCUAUGAGAAAACACUGCUAGGAUUUUAAUGAAAUUGCAUUUAAUUUAUUGAUUAUUUUACAGGAGAGCUGAACAUUUGAAACUGAGAUUUUGCAUUCAUGAUGUAGCCUUCCAAUUAGUUAAAUCUUCAUCUAUAGCCCUUAAUAAAAUUGUUUUAGUUUCUCAUUUAAGAUGUCCCACGUCUUUAUUAUACUUAUUUCUAAAUACCUUAGAGUUUUAUUGUUAUUGCGAAAGGUGUGUUUUUUCUAUUACAUUCUCCAAUUGGUGUUGACUAUUGCAUAGCCGUGCUGUGGAUUUUUAUAUCUUCUUAUAUUAAACCUCAUUAGCUCUCAUUGUAAAGUCUUAAAAAUUUUUGUGUGUAGAAAGUUAUAUUGUCUACCCAAAAAAUGUGAAAAUUUAUGUCUCCUCCUUUCCAAUCCUCACUCCUCUUUUUCCAUCUCGUCUUGCAACGUUGGCUGGAUCAUCAGACCAUGCUGAGUGAUGGCUAUGAGAGAGUCAACUCCCUGCUUUCCACUUUAAUGGGACUGCAUCUGGAGUUUCAUGGGAAGCUUGAGCUUUGAUACAGGCUGGCUGUGGCUGCGUUUUAUCAGGUUAAGGUCAUCCUUGUAGCUCUUGUUAUCUAAGAGCCCCACGGAGGUGUCUGGACCAUACUCCAGGGGGCGGCUCUGAGCAUCCCUCGGUGUCUCCUUUAGCCAUUCUCCUUACUCUGCUCCA
rnacentral:lncRNA from 1 species